GUACGUAGUGUAUCUCCUGCAAGUUCUAUGGAUUUUUUUCAAAUCCUUUAUUAUAAUCAAUGGAUCUCUAAAAUAGCAUUUUUUUUUUUUCCACUAGGUUAGACAUAAAAUCUUCUUUAGACAGUUAGAUUUGAGGGAAAUUUUAUUAUACUUAAUUUCAGUAGUGAUUUGCUGUUUCAUCUUAGUCUGUCUUAGCCCUUAACAAAUUGAAGUAUCUGUCCUACAGAAUUCACAGUAGCGAUGAAAUGAUGUAGUAAUCAAUUUUUACUUCAUUCUUUCCCUGUUUUUAAGAACUUGGAAAGAUGUCUGUGUUCUGCACUGUGAGAGCUGAGUCCACAGAUUGUUUGAAGGAAAAUACUUGCAGACAACAAGGAUGUUGAAAUCUUACAAAUUUAGAAGGCCAUACUCCACCACUGAAUGCUGGAAGAGUUUGAGACUGCUAGAAGAUUUAUUUUACUGAGAGAAAGAUACUGCAGGCUGGAGGAAUCCACAGAGUCUUUAAACAAGUGUGAAUUCCUGCUCCUGCCCAAGCUGCUGACUGUGUGACAUGAUGCAUAUGUGACCCAUCCAGGCCUUGUUGACAUAGAAAGUUAAAUUGCAAGCUAACUGAGAAGUGAUUUAAAGGGAUCUCACUGGACCAUCUGUUUUUUGUGAGUAACUGCAGUAAGUCAACAACUUUACUCCCUUCCACAGAUUGGAUUUUAACUCCAAAAAAAAAAAAAAGAAGAAGAAGAAGAAGAAGAAGAAACAAACUGAGCACUUUUUCAAAAGCUUGGUACCUUUUACAUUUCUCAUGCAAGGUGAUUUGACCUAUACCUUGGAUCUCCCAUUGCAUCAGUAGGAUUGGAUAAGAUAGCAGGACAGGGCAGGACAGGACAGGAUAGUUGGAAUGGACCUAAGUUACUCUUGUGUACUUCUUGUAACUGGGUAUACUGUUAGCUAGCUUCCCACAGCCUUUGGUAUGUUGCUGGAGAGGGGUUUGGAUAUAACAUCUGCCAAUUCCUUCAGCACUUUGGGGUGAAUUGGACUGCUAUCUGCUGUUGCUCUUUCCUGUGGGCGUGAAUGACACUGGAAGCUGG
ensembl:lncRNA